UUACGGCCAUAUCUCGCUGAAACAGAGAUUCUCGUACGAUCAUCGAAGUUAAGCAACGUCGAACAUUUUAGUACCUAGAUGGGUGACCACUUGGGAAUAGUAGGUACUGUA